rnacentral:lncRNA from 1 species
CAAGAAUUUAACAAUCAUAUACAGUAAUUGAGCUUGGGAUUCAGAUUACAAAUUUCAACAAUCUAAAGCUAGUUCAACGAAUUCCAUGAUUCCAUUCACAAUAUCUUGCACGACCAUUGCUAUUCUUGAAUCAUACGCCUCUUGUUCCUUCGGGCAGACCUCUGAUUUAUAAGAAAAUAGCCACUGGACUACUCUUAUUAAUCGGCUCUCUCAUGCAUAACAACUAAAUGGCUAGGCAACAAGUUUGAUUAAUCUAUUAGUAUAGAUAUCAUUUUGAGUAUGAACCACUAAUUUUCAAAGAAUAAACCAUCAUACACUAAACAAUAAACUCAUUAUGAGAUGAUUUUAACAUAUAAAACUUGUAAACCAAAACAAUGACGAAUCUGUGAUAUUAAACCUCAUUGAGUAGUUGUGUAAACUAGUCAAAAAUAACUUGAAUCGCCAUAUUUAGUUCAAAUGAAUAAUCAAAACCAGAAAUUUACAUGGAAGCAAUUGCAGUGAAACAUAGUAAGGAGAUCAGACACAAACAACAUUAGAUAAUCCAAACUUAUUCAUAAUUGCAACAGGAAGCUAAUAGGCAAAUUUGUACAUACCUAGUGGCAGGAAACAGCAAAUAAGGGACCAAAUAAAGGUCAGAAAAUCAGGUAUGAAGCCAAGUUUAACAGAGUAGCAUAAACAGCAGCAGUACAGAAGGAAUAACUUCCGAAUUUAGCCCAGAACCAAGCGAAACUCAAAAAAACUACUGAAACGAUGCAGUGGCCUUUUAACCUUU